AUCCAGCUGACGAGUCCCGAAUAGGACGAAACGCGUGUUGUGGAU
rnacentral:hammerhead_ribozyme from 1 species